rnacentral:ncRNA from 1 species
ACGGUGAAAGGCGUAGUAAGCGACAAAAUGAUUUGGGGAAUUGAAAAUAAGCAUAGAUAUGAGGAUUUCCAAAUAGGUCAACCUUUCAAAUUAUUGUUGAAUUCACAUUCGAGCAAGAGACAAUCUGGCAAACUGAAACAUCUUAAAAGCUAGAGGAAAAGAAAGCAAAAGCAAUUUUUGUAGUAGUGGCGAACCAAAUGAGAACAACCUAAAGUGUGGGGUUGUGGGAGACCAAUACAAGUAUCGUGCUGCUAUGCGAAGUAAUCAAAUGUUGCACCCUAGAUGGUGAAAGUCCAGUAUUCGAAAGUAUCACUAGCUUAUGCUCUAACUCAAGUAGCAUAGGGCACGUGGAAUCCCGUGGGAAUCAACAAAUUGACGGUGAUG